GAUGAAGAACGUAGCGAAAUGCGAUAAGUAAUGUGAAUUGCAGAAUUCAGUGAAUCAUCGAAUCUUUGAACGCACAUUGCGCCCCCUGGUAUUCCGGGGGGCAUGCCUGUUCGAGCGUCAUUCCACCACUCAAGCCUCGCUUGGUAUUGGGCAACGCGGUCCGCCGCGUGCCUCAAAUCGACCGGCUGGGUCUUCUGUCCCCUAAGCGUUGUGGAAACUAUUCGCUAAAGGGUGUUCGGGAGGCUACGCCGUAAAACAACCCCAUUUCUAAGGUUGACCUCGGAUCAGGUAGGGAUACCCGCUGAACUUAAGCAUAUCAAUAACGGAGGA
rnacentral:misc_RNA from 1 species